rnacentral:rRNA from 1 species
UACGUAGGAUGCAAGCGUUGUCCGGAUUUAUUGGGUUAAAAGGGUGCGUAGGCGGCUUAUUAAGUAAGUGGUGAAAACGUUCGGCUUAACUGGAUACCCGCCAUUGAUACUGAUAGACUUGAGUGCGACAGAGGGUGUUGGAAUGUGUGGUGUAGCGGUGAAAUGCUUAGAUAUCACGCAGAACACCAAUUGCGAAGGCAGAUGCCUAUGUCGUAACUGACGCUGAGGCACGAAAGCGUGGGGAGCAAACAGG